rnacentral:rRNA from 1 species
GUAGAGGGUGCUUUGGCGUUGGCCCCCGCUCAAGUUCCUUAGAACAGGACGUCAUAGAGGGUGAGAACCCCGUACAUGGCCGGACGGCCUUCGCCUUGUAAAGCCCCUUCGACGAGUCGAGUUGUUUGGGAAUGCAGCUCUAAAUGGGAGGUAAAUUUCUUCUAAGGCUAAAUACCGGCUGGAGACCGAUAGCGCACAAGUAGAGUGAUCGAAAGAUGAAAAGCACUUUGGAAAGAGAGUGAAAAAGCACGUGAAAUUGUUGAAAGGGAAGCGCUUGCAGCCAGACUCGCCCGCGGUUGCUCACCCGGCGCUCCUGCCCGGUGCACUCUUCCGCGGGCGGGCCAGCAUCGGUUUGGGCGGUCGGACAAAGGUCCCGGGAACGUGGCUCCCCAUGGGGAGUGUUAUAGCCCGGGGCGUCAUGCGGCCAGCCCGGACCGAGGCCCGCGCAUUUCGCUAGGAUGCUGGCGUAAUGGCUGUAAGCGGCCCGUCUUGAAACACGGACCAAGGAGUCUAACAUCUGUGCGAGUGUUUGGGUGUCAAGCCCUGACGCGCAAUAAAAGUGAACGGAGGUGGGACCCCCUCGGGGUGCACCAUCGACCGAUCCUGAUGUCUUCGGAUGGAUUUGAGUAAGAGCAUAGCUGUUGGGACCCGAAAGAUGGUGAACUAUGCCUGAAUAGGGUGAAGCCAGAGGAAACUCUGGUGGAGGCUCGCAGCGGUUCUGACGUGCAAAUCGAUCGUCAAAUUUGGGCAUAGGGGCGAAAGACUAAUCGAACUAUCUAGUAGCUGGUUCCUGCCGAAGUUUCCCUCAGGAUAGCAGUAACGUUUUCAGUUUUAUGAGGUAAAGCGAAUGAUUAGAGGCCUGGGGGUUGAAACAACCUUCACCUAUUCUCAAACUUUAAAUAUGUAAGAAGUCCUUGUUACUUAAUUGAACGUGGACACUUGAAUGUACCGUUCCGUACUAGUGGGCCAUUUUUGGUAAGCAGAACUGGCGAUGCGGGAUGAACCGAACGCGGGGUUAAGGUGCCAGAAUGCACGCUCAUCAGACACCACAAAAGGUGUUAGUUCAUCCAGACAGCAGGACGGUGGCCAUGGAAGUCGGAAUCCGCUAAGGAGUGUGUAACAACUCACCUGCCGAAUGAACUAGCCCUGAAAAUGGAUGGCGCUCAAGCGUGCUACCCAUACCCCGCCGCCGGGGCAAGCUUUAUGCCCCGGCGAGUAGGC